rnacentral:rRNA from 1 species
UAGUCCACGCCGUAAACGAUGUCAACUAGCCGUUGGUUCCAUUUAAGGGAUCAGUGGUGCAGCUAACGCAUUAAGUUGACCGCCUGGGGAGUACGCGCGCAAGCGUAAAACUCAAAGGAAUUGACGGGGGCCCGCACAAGCGGUGGAGCAUGUGGUUUAAUUCGAUGCAACGCGAAGAACCUUACCAGCCCUUGACAUUUACGGAACUUAGCAGAGAUGCUUUGGUGCCUUCGGGAGCCGUAGGACAGGUGCUGCACGGCUGUCGUCAGCUCGUGUCGUGAGAUGUUGGGUUAAGUCCCGCAACGAGCGCAACCCUUGUCUUUAGUUGCCAUCAUUAAGUUGGGCACUUUAAAGAGACUGCCGGUGACAAACCGGAGGAAGGUAAGGAUGACGUCAAGUCAGCAUGCCCCUUAUGCUCUGGGCUACACACGUGCUACAAUGGCCGUGACAAAGAGUUGCUACUUUGUGAAAACAAGCUAAUCUCAUAAACGCGGCCUCAGUUCGGAUUGC